rnacentral:rRNA from 1 species
CACCCGCAGCUCGAGUGGUAGUCACUUUUAUUGAGCCUAAAGCGUUCGUAGCCGGUUUUGUAAAUCCUCAGACAAAUUCUCCUGCUUAACGGGAGAUACUCUGGAGAGACUGCGAAACUAGGGACCGGGUGAGGUUGAAGGUACUUCUGGGGUAGGGGUAAAAUUCUGUAAUCCUGGAAGGACGACCAGUGGCGAAGGCGUUCAACUAGAACGGAUCCGACGGUGAGGAACGAGGGCUAGGGGAGCAAACCGGAUUAGAUACCCGGGUAGUCCUAGCUGUAAACACUGCCCACUUGGUGUUGCUUCUUCUAUAGGGGGGAGCAGUGCCGGAGCGAAGGUGUUAAGUGGGCCGCUUGGGGAGUAUGGUCGCAAGGCUGAAACUUAAAGGAAUUGGCGGGGGAGCACCGCAACGGGAGGAGCGUGCGGUUUAAUUGGAUUCAACGCCGGAAAACUCACCGGGAGCGACCUUUGGAUGAGAGUCAACUUGAUGAGUUUACUCGAUAGAAGGAGAGGUGGUGCAUGGCCGUCGUCAGCUCGUACCGUAGGGCGUUCACUUAAGUGUGAUAACGAGCGAGACCCCCAUCCUUAAUUGCAAAUCUCAGGGUGACUUGAGACGCACUUUAAGGAGACCGCCAGCGCUAAGCUGGAGGAAGGAGAGGUCGACGGCAGGUCAGUACGCCCCGAAUCUCCCGGGCUACACGCGCGCUACAAAGGACAGGACAAUGAGUUGCGACCUCGAAAGAGGGAGCUAACCUCGAAACCUGUUCGUAGUUAGGAUUGAGGGCUGUAACUCGCCCUCAUGAAUGUGGAUUCCGUAGUAAUCGCGGGUCAACAGCCCGCGGUGAAUAUGCCCCUGCUCCU